rnacentral:rRNA from 1 species
GAGAACGCAGCUAGCUACGAUAAUCGGUGCGAAUUGCAGGACACGCCGAGCACUUGAGCUUCCAACGCACAUUGCGGCUUUCGGGUCUUUUCCGAGGUCACAUCUGUCUGAGAGUUGAGAUUCAAAAUAAUCAACAAAGCAAUUGUAUACAUAUGUAUAUGCAAUGUUUUGGGAUGCUAAGCAUUCCCUGUUUAGCAUUCAGAUGUUUAAUUCCUUUUCUUGAAUACACUUGUUAUUCUAGUAAGGAGAAUCUCAAAUCUACUUGCUGUGUACAAGUAUGAUAUUAUACACUAUACAUCUCUGCAUACAGGGUACAAUGAUUGAUACUGGCACGGGAUCCUGGGUUAGUCGCCUAUCUGACGACGCUAAAGUCGUAUUACAGAUAACUAUGGUGAUAAACUAGCCAGAGCUUAAGGGAUCUCGAUUGCACACUGCUUCCAAGCUAAAGGUUGAUAUCACUCUGUUGAAGCAGAAGCAUGUACUGUAUAUGUAGUAUUACACACAGCUUAAUAGAGUAGAUUUAAGUUUACUGAUACAUAUCAGUCAAAAAUAUCGUUGCACUUUAUUGUGUAUACGCU